UGCGUAGGCGGACUAAUAAGUCAGUGGUGAAAUCUCUCGGCUCAACCGGGAAACUGCCAUUGAUACUGUUAGUCUUGAGUUCGGUUGAGGUAGGCGGAAUGUGUAAUGUGGCGGUGAAAUGCUUAGAUAUUACACAGAACACCAAUUGCGUAGGCAGCUUACUAGACCGACACUGACGCUGAGGCACGAAAGCGUGGGUAGCGAACAGGAUUAGAUACCCUGGUAGUC
rnacentral:rRNA from 1 species